AAAAUAAGUGAAACUCUCGAGUCAAUUAGGGCUUCACUGUUAUUCUUCUACAAUUCAACCUUGCCGUCUCCCCUCUAUUCUUAAUCUGCGAAGCAAAUGUCGUAACCAUGGUGUUUGAUUCCGAGAAGCAAUCGAUCGUUUUUCUUGGACAUGUCGACUCUUGGACAGGUUGGUGAUUCAUCUUCAGGUGGGAUUAGCUCGGUCAAAGAACCUUUGAUUAAGGAGAACACCACAGCCCAGAAGACUAUUCUGUUCUUACAGCCAUUCCCCGUGAGUUCUUUUCUGUCGUUUUCUAUUGUUAGGAAGUCAUAACACCACCAACUGUGGUCACAGAAAGAUUGUGGUUGCUAUUAACAGAUUAUUGCCAAUGUUUCUUCUAAAAAAAGCUAAUGUUUGGUUUGCACAUGGUUCAUACCAAGCAGACAUUUGUUGCAGGUUUCUCUUACCAGCUCUUGGAGCUUUGCUUUUUGGUUACGAGAUUGGUGCUACUUCUUGUGCCAUUAUUUCUAAUAAGGUUACAAUAACUCCUGAAGUCGAGAGCAAUCAUUGCUGAGUUAGUGAGACUACAUAAAGAGUCUGAUCUCAGGCCGGAAAAGCCUCUGCACUGUCGGGGAGCUUCCUUUCACUUGGAAAGAGUUCGCUGUUAAGAUCUUUGAUGAGACGACGGUAUCAUCAAUGGCCCUAUAUGGGAGUGAUCAUAUAAGGUGGCUAUCAAGUUCGUUGCACGGACUAAUAUACAGUUAUGGUGUGGGUUUAACUUUAAACAUCGACAUGGCUUCAGCUGCAUUCAGUCUCUUCCUGUGAUUGAGUUUUUAGCACAGCUUCUUGGGAAAGAUGUCUUGUCAUAGCCAUUAUCUGACUCUGAUCGUAUUAAGGGGAGUGAAAGACGAGGUCACUUAUAGAGCAAACGUAAGAAGGAAAUGCGUGUUGCCGGUUUAACGACUCAGCCAACGAGAGAGCUUAUGUUUCCUGUUGAUGAGAACGCUAUGAUGAAGUCUGUUAUUGAGUAGUUUCAAGAGAGAGAUGCAUGGGUUCACGAUACAGCACACAUAUUUACCGUGUCUCCAAAUUGGAAAUAAGAAGAAGGCAAGCUAUUUCCCUAUGGAGGCGUGCAAAAUCAUGGUGGGACAGCAGAUCACUGCUCUUUUGAAAGAUACAUGCCAGAAACCAAGGGAUAGAGAAAACAAUAUUCUAAAGACUUUCAAGACCAAUGAAUCUGGAUUUGUUGAGGUGGAAGGUGUGGAAGCAUCGGCAUCUGCGAGCAACAAGGUUAGAGGUGAAGAUGAUGAACCAAGUCCAUCCGCAUCUGCAGGCAAAGAGAGUAGCAAUGAAGCUCCAUCGGCGUCUGCAAACUGUGUUGAAGAGGAAGGUGGCCAAGCAUCCAAUUCUGCCAGCAUCAAGGUUGGGGGAAAAGCCAAUGAACCAUAUCCAUCCGGUGUUGAAGGCAAAGAGGGUGACCGUAAACGCCCCGCGAGUGAAGAAACAAAACUGUUAAUCGUCAUUCCAAAUUUGCUUCAGUCUCUUUACGGUUUCAUAAUUUAAUAUGCAUUUCCUAUUUCACACU